rnacentral:misc_RNA from 1 species
CAAGAACGCCCGGGCUUCGGCCUGGUUAUUCAUAACCCUUUGUUGUCCGACUCUGUUGCCUCCGGGGCGACCCUGCCUUCGGGCGGGGGCUCCGGGUGGACACUUCAAACUCUUGCGUAACUUUGCAGUCUGAGUAAAACAAACAAAUAAAUCA